AUUGAACGCUGGCGGCAGGCUUAACACAUGCAAGUCGAGCGAGCGGCGGACGGGUGAGUAAUGUCUGGGAAACUGCCUGAUGGAGGGGGAUAACUACUGGAAACGGUAGCUAAUACCGCAUACUAUCAGAUGUGCCCAGAUGGGAUUAGCUAGUAGGUGAGGUAAUGGCUCAUCUAGGCGACGAUCCCUAGAUGGUCUGAGAGGAUGACCAGCCACACUGGAACUGAGACACGGUCCAGACUCCUACGAGAGGCAGCAGUGGGGAAUAUUGCACAAUGGGCGCAAGCCUGAUGCAGCAAGGCGGCGUGUGUGAAGAAGGCCUUCGGGUUGUAAAGCAAUUUCAGCGAGGAGGCGUUACUCGCAGAAGAAGCACCGGCUAACUCCGUGCCAGCAGCCGCGGUAAUAC
rnacentral:rRNA from 1 species